UACAGAGGUCUCAAGCGUUGUCCGGAUUUACUGGGCGUAAAGAGCGCGCAGGCGGUCGUUCAAGUCGCGUGUGAAAGCCCCCGGCUCAACUGGGGAGGGUCACGCGAUACUGAUCGACUCGAAGGCAGGAGAGGGUAGUGGAAUUCCCGGUGUAGUGGUGAAAUGCGUAGAUAUCGGGAGGAACACCAGUGGCGAAGGCGACUACCUGGCCUGUUCUUGACGCUGAGGCGCGAAAGCUAGGGGAGCAAACGGG
rnacentral:rRNA from 1 species